UACGUAGGUGGCAAGCGUUGUCCGGAAUUAUUGGGCGUAAAGCGCGCGCAGGUGGUUUAAUAAGUCUGAUGUGAAAGCCCACGGCUCAACCGUGGAGGGUCAUUGGAAACUGUUAAACUUGAGUGCAGGAGAGAAAAGUGGAAUUCCUAGUGUAGCGGUGAAAUGCGUAGAGAUUAGGAGGAACACCAGUGGCGAAGGCGGCUUUUUGGCCUGUAACUGACACUGAGGCG
rnacentral:rRNA from 1 species